rnacentral:rRNA from 1 species
CCUGACGUAGACGCUAUUCCCUAAGAUUAACCCAUGCAUGUUUUUGACAUUUGAAAAAUGGACUGCUCAGUAAUACUCACUUUAUUUUAUGUAAAUUUUUAAUUAACUACGUUAAAGUGUAGAUAAGAUGUUUACAGUAAGAGUGAGACCUAUCAGCUAGUUGUUAAGGUAAUGGCUUAACAAGGCUGUGACGGGUAACGGUAUUACUUUGUAAUAUUCCGGAGAAGGAGCCUGAGAGACGGCUACUAAGUCUAAGGAUUGCAGCAGGGGCGAAACUUGACCUAUGGAUUUUAUCUGAGGCAGUUAUGGGAAGUAAUAUUAUAUUGUUUCAUAUUUUAAAAGUAUAUGAGGUGAUUAAUUGGAGGGCAAAUCAAGUGCCAGCAGCCGCGGUAAUACUUGUUCCAAGAGUGUGUAUGAUGAUUGAUGCAGUUAAAAAGUCCGUAGUUUAUUUUU